ACACAAAAUAGUUUAUUUGGUCAUAGGGAAGUCCCGCACAAAGUUUGAGCCAAUUCAAAAAAUACAAAUAAAAUCCAUUUACGGUUUUGGUAGAGAAUUGCUCAUUUUCGAACUUUGUUGACAUGGUUUCUGAGAUAUGGCCACAGAGUAAUCCAGAGAGAGCAGUCCGAACAAAACCCUGUUAGACUGAAGUCCCGCGGUCGUGCGAUUCGAAGCGUUAUCUACUCGAAAUCGAUCUUGUCCUGCAAUUUUCGAGCGUUUGUCGUGCAUUUCAUCGAAUGUCAAAGGUGACAUCUGCAGUUCGUGUUGGUACUAGUAGGCUACGCAAUUGGAUGACAGUUCAUUUUUUUUUCAAAGUCCACCACGAAAAGAUUCCGAUGCGUCAAUCCGGAAGGCGUGCUGUUGAGCGAUGGGCUCGAUGCUUAAAUACAAAGCCAGCGGUUUCAAAUUCAGGGACUUUCUGAACCAGGAAAACGGUAAAAUGCAAGAGGAAUCUAAAUUUCCAAGCAACUCAUCAAACUUCCAUCAUCCAACAUCCAAAAAGUUUUUGGCACCUCGGAUUACCAACUUUUUCAAGAACUUUUUCUUCCAGUAUGGCCAAGAUUGUGGAUUAUUUGUUGUAAAAACAGGAUAAUAAAAAUGUAUUGAUCAACA